rnacentral:rRNA from 1 species
CCUACGGGAGGCAGCAGUGGGGAAUCUUGGACAAUGGGCGCAAGCCUGAUCCAGCAAUGCCGCGUGGGUGAAGAAGGCCUUCGGGUUGUAAAGCCCUUUCGGCGGGGAAGAAAUCGGUCAGGCGAAUAGUCUGGCCGGAUGACGGUACCCGCAGAAGAAGCACCGGCUAACUACGUGCCAGCAGCCGCGGUAAU